rnacentral:tRNA from 1 species
GCAGUGGUGGUUCAGCGUUAGAAUCCUCACCUGCCAUGUGGGAAACCCAGGUCCAAUUCCCGGCCAAGGCA